GGGGUUGUGGCUCAAUGGUAGAGCACUUGCCUAGCAUGUGUGAGGCACUGGGUUCCAUUCUCAGCACCA
rnacentral:tRNA from 1 species